rnacentral:lncRNA from 1 species
AGAUCCACCAGGUGCAAGGACUGUCUCGGGACCAUGGCUGCCCUUUUCUAAGAAUCUGUCUUCAUUUGUGUGGUAAGAACGUUGAUGCAGUGGAUUUGCUGCUGCACUCUUAGGUGGGAGAGGCAGAUAAGUGGUUCUGUUCACUCAUAGCUGCUCUUGUUGCUCAAAUUCCUGGCUUUGGUGAAGAAUGUGCACAGUGAAGGCCCUAACCCAAUGAAGUUACCACUGUUUCAGACAUUUUUUGUCUCUGUUCCAUGAUAUUAUUGUAAUUUUAUUGUAUUCAUAUCAAUUGUAGUAUUUAUUUGUGUUAAAUAAAAACCAUAAACAGAUUUGCCUUCUGUUUUAACUCAGCAGUAUGUCUGAAGAUACUUAACUUAUGUAUUUGGCACCACACCUAAGUCAAAUAUGCCUUUUUGUCUUCGGGAUUUUUCUACCUGUGUGAUUACAUAUGAACACAUAAGAGAAAAACUCACCCCUAGGUUACGUGGAUUUUAACCAUUGCUCUGAGUUCUUCCUAGCAGAAACAUGUGAUUUGUAUGUGUGAUUCCACUUGUUUAUUCCUUAGGAAGCAUGUUUAGUUCAAAAGCACAUUCGAGAUAGAAGUGCGAGGCGAGUGUCUUAACGUUUGGCCUGUUUAACAAGUGCCAGUGCGAGUGUGUAACAGUGCAAACCUUUCCAUCCAACAUCACAGUGAAUACAAAACAAAUUUUUGAAAUUAAAAGUUUCGCCAGACACUCUAAUACCAAAACCUUUUAGUGAUAGCUACUAGGAGUAACGGAGAUGGAUGGAGAAGUCGACCGAGACUUUGGUCUUUUUCGAAGAAGGCCCCCGUUUUGUUUCCAGGCAGUAGUAGUUGAAAAACGGUAAAAACUACUUUCCUGUGUCUUCCUUCAUGUGUUCACUGCCUGUGACCAGUGAGAAAGGCAGGGACUAAAUGAGGCCGUCCUCCGGGGUGGCCCCAGUGGUCUCCGUGGGCAGUCCCCCACACUGUGGACGUCCUCGGGGGUGGACACAGUGGGCCCUGGCCCCGGGAAGUCUUCUCCCCCUGUGGACGGCUCGGGGACCUGCUUCUGAAGGGGGAAUAUGAUAGAAAAGAAGCCAUGAGACGUCACUUUCAACAUCCAGUUCUUUAAAAGACCGUGUGCUCCGUUUUUUGCUCUCUCAGCUCGCUCCUGCUUGGGGAAGCAGAUUGCAUGCUGGAAGUGGCUCAUGGAGAGGCCUGUUGGCUUGGCAGGCACUGAGGCCUUCAUCCCACUGUCUGUGAGCAUCUGCAACGGGCCCAGGCCCCGUGAGUGCACCUCAGCCCUUCCCUGGUCAGGCUUUCAGAUGAGACCACAGCCCUGGCUGGCCGUUUGACUAUAAACUCACAAAUACCCAAAGCAGAGGCCUCCAGAUAAACUCUGCCCCGAAUCCUGACACACAGAAACGGUGAGAUUACUAACCUCUGCUGUUGUAAACCACUAAGUUUUCGGGUAAUUGGUUACAUAGCGACUCCUUUGAAACUGCUUGUGGGGUAGAAUUCUAAAGUGCAGAUGACUUUUUCUGUAAUUCGUUUGUUUGUUUUUUUUCAGGGCCCCGCCUGCAGCGUGUGUAGGUUCCCAGGCUAGGGGUCCAGUCAGAGCUGUAGCCGCCAGCCUACACCACAGCCACAGCAACACGGGAUCUGAGCAUCGUCUGCAAACUACACUACAGCUCACAGCAAUGCCAAAUCCUUAACCCACUGAUUGAGGCCAGGAAUCGAACUCUAGUCCUCAUGGAUGCCAGUUGGGUUCGUUAACCCCUGAGCCACGACGGGAACUCCUGUACUUUUCUUAAUAUGAUACAUUACUACAAAUACUAGGAAAUAAGUCUUCUGGGAGGUACGGUUACAGGGGCGAAUGGGUGGAGGCCAUUUGUGUGCACAUCCUGGGAGUGUCCUCCGUGCACAGAGCGAGCGAAGAACUUGAAAGGGUCGGAAAGGAUCGCAAAGACUCAUAACUGGUCCCUUACUUUCUCCUCUUGUUUUUGAAUAAUGAUUUUAACUAUUAUAGCAAAGGUCAGAGAGACAAAAAUAUUUGUUUACUCUUGCUAUGACCGUGUGAGUUGCAAAUAGUUACCUUGUUUAUAAAGGUAUGAAAGAGGGGAAAACCCCAGUAGAAUGUGAAACCUAUUCUUAAAAAGUCUCAAUGAACAUGUAAACUACUUUGACGGCUAAAAGAUAUAAAGCGUAGAGGGAAGGUAUGAUUUAGAUGUUCUCCAACGUGUAGAAAAUCAUUUCAAAAAGUAUUGCAAAUUAUUAAUAAAAUAGAAGAAGAUACAUCGACUACACACAAACAGGAAGUUCUUGCUGUGCUGCAUGGGUUGAGAAUCCAACUGCUGGAGUUCCCGUGGGAGCUCAGUGGAAAUGAGUCCGACUAGGAGCCGUGAGGUUGUGGGUUCCGUCCCUGGCCUCGCUCGGUGGGUUAAGAUCUGGCGUUGUUGUGAGCCGUGGUGUAGGUCACAGAGGUGGCUCGGAGCCUGUGUGGCUGCGGCCGUGGUGUAGGCCGGCAGCUAUGGCUCCGAUGUGAGGCAGAAUCCAACUGCUGUGGCUUGGGUUGCUGCAGAGGCACAGGAUUGAUCCCUGGCCUCGUACGGUGGGUUAAAGGAUCUGGCAUCGCUGCAGUGGUGGCGUAGGUCACAGCCGUGGCUUGAAUUCAGUCCCUGGCCUGGGAACUUGUAUACGCUGUGGGCGCAGCCAUUAAAAAA